AUACUUAACCUGGCAGGUGAGAUACCAUGAUUGCGAAGGUUGUUUUCCCAGGGCGAGGCUUAUCCACUGCACUCUGGAUGUGCAUAAUUUGUGGUAGUGGUGGGGAACUGCAUUUGUGCUUUCUCCUG
rnacentral:snRNA from 1 species